CUGUUUUUCUUCCAUGGUUUUGGUUGCAAGAAUACUUGGUAGACCUGAAGUUUUUGUUGCCUGGUUAUUUUUGUUUUCUUGGUCCUCACCAUGAUUAAACCUGCAUGUCAUCUCCUUUAACUACAUGAACAUGGCAAAGACUAAGCAGAGCCCGGUACCUUUCAAGAAGUAGGAGAGCAUGCCAGAGAAAUUUUAUUGGAUGAGUCAGUCACAGCCAACACAACAAAAAGAAGGAAAGCAUGCCAAAAACCUAAGGAACCAACUACACUCACCUCUUUGGAAAUUGUUUUCAGCACUCAGAAGAAGAUGUCCAUCGCUGUGAAUCUCUGCAGUC